ACCAGAGAAUUCCCCCAUUUCCAUUUCUUGACUCUCUGUCUUAUGUGCUGAAUAUUUUCAGGUGUUGUGUGGCAGCAAGUUCAAGUGAAGCUGAAAAUGUGGUGUUGCUGUGACAAUAUUGUGCUUACGGAUUCCAGUUGGUCAUGUAUCCAUCAUUGAACUACUCACUGAACUGCACACAGGGAAACAAUGCUUCAGCUGACAGGACAGGCUUCAUGGUUCAUUACUUAAUCAACAUUCAUGAAUUCAAUCUGGGAAAAUCCCAACUCAAUGCCAGAGCUGCUCUCUAGGAAGGCAGAGCUCAGCAUUAUUGGAUAGAAUCACACAUAUAGAACGAUGCGUCGAGUGAAGGGCCAGCAACCCAGCUCCAGCUGCAGCACCGCGGGAUCGACACGCUCUAUUCCCCUGCACUUGAGGGGCCCAGUGUUCCAAAAUUGUCAGGACUGGUCUGAACUGUGAAACCUGAAGGAACCGCCCCUCCGGGAGGGACUGGCGUCCUCGGGAGGGUGAAGCUUAUGUCCAGGAGGAUUGUUUCAGCAUCAGUGCAGAAGGAAGAGGAGCAAAGAGGGAGCCUUUGGUAGGUAAGGUUCUGACUGUUCAGUCCAUAGCACUAAAGGGUUUAACCUUAAUCUCUCCUUUUCAUGACCCAGGUCCACAUCCACAGUCUCUAGGGAUGUCAGCUGCUAGAGCUCAGCCCUCUUAGAAAACAAAGCUCUCCUCAGGGAGAGUCAUGGGAAGGAGUUAGAACCAAGCACGCUUGGUCGGGUCCCUGCUGGGUCUGUCCUUUGAGUGGAGGAACGGUGGAGUCGGCUAGUGGGUCUUGCCCACCAGGGGGCAGUGUGAGACACAGUGGAAUGGAUAUCUAUAGGCCGGCCUUUGGGGUCCUGAUUUGGGACAGAUUGUUUUAACUUUCCUAAGGCUCAGAUUCCUCCUUGAGUUACACUUGAUCUUCAUCCCUCAUAGCGUGGUUAUGAGGAUCAGAUGGGCUACAGUACAAACAUUAUUCCAUACCUGAGCCUGUCUACUGUUGUUACUCUUUGACCUUGUGUACUAAUGCUUGGGGCUCUUGGAUUCUAGUCUCCCAAGAGCCUCCCCCCCAGAGAACAGUUUUGUUGAGCCUCCUAUAAGAUCCUUUGCUUCUAUAUUUGACCAAGUCUCCCAGUUACCUAGGAGAAUUUUCCAGAAAGAGUGCAUGUGACAUGAGACCUGCUUGCUCUUUGGGAAAGCAGGUGUUGAUGAAUCUCUUCUCCUGUUCACUUCUUCCUAGCAUGGCCUCUUGUGGUUGCCUGGCCCCCAUGCAGCCGAGGUUGACAUGAGAAGGUAAUACUAUAGGGAAGGGAAUGUGAGAGAAACCCCUCCUUGAGGAAUAAAAGAAGUAUCUUGAAGUCAGUGACAUGGGGAAUGUGCCUCCUGCCAGGCCUGCUGUGUCCUUCUAUCCCCAUUCAGUUUGUGCAUCCUGUCUUCUGCACCCAUCUGGGAAAACUUCUUGAUGAGAGCAGUUUGUAGCAAGAUCCCUGCUGAGAGGAUCAUGAUAGGGUGACCGUGGAAGCUGAUCUUCUGAUGCUUAAGUAGGUUGGGAAGCUGCUGUGUCUUCUGUGUCCCUUUGGCUAUGUCCCCUGGUUCUCUGCCUGAGCCAACUUCUCUCCCCUUCUCUGGCAUCCCCACUCUCACCAGACCCUUUUGAAACCAGUUAAGAGCCCUCUCACACUGUCUUAUUUAUCCCUGUGUCAGCCUGAGGACCUGCAGAAACCCGUCUUCCCACACUGUACCUGUCUUAGUUCAUUGUCUCCCUUCCUUUAAUUGUAGCCCAGCAUCGCAGUUGGGCUACAGCUGCCAUGUUGGGCUACAUCACCUCAGGCCUACAUCUGCCUUAUAAUGCACAUCAGUGGCCUUCUUUCUGUCAUUAGAGGUCACUUGGACGUAUGCCCCCGUAUUUUUGCCGAUCUAUUUUUCUCAUCCUCUGAAACUUUAUUUCUUCCUCCUGUGGAGCUUUCCAGGCCACUGGGUACCCUCCUUGUCUUUUUAUUCACUUAAUGUUCUUUCACUCCACCCCUAACUUUUAUCUUUAUUCCAGGAUCUCUACUACUAGACCCUAUUGCCCCUCAAACUCUCAAGACUGAGACUGUUUAUAACCAGUCUUUUCAUUACUCUCACUACCUUUUGGCUACCAGACCUUUUUGCCACUGAUUCCUACUUUCUUACUGGAUUAUCCUCCACCUCUAACAUUUGCCUUUUCCCCUCUUCCUUCAGAGCACACUCAGGUCCUAUUCUCUAGCUAGACUUUGUGUCUGGACCAUUUUACCUCACCUAACUCCUGACUCAGGAUAUCAGCCUCUUACACAGGAAUCUCUCUUAUUCAUUUUUUAAAAUACUACUUCUAAACAUUGAGAUAUAGUUCCCAUAGCAUAGAAUUCACCCUAAGAAGUGUACAAUUCAUAGUUUUUUUUUUAUUUUCUCGAGGUUAGGCAAUCACCACCACUAAUUCCAAAACAAAUUCUUCAUUUCAACAAGAGUUAUACCAUUGACAUACUGCUCAUUCCUCCCUUUUCCCAGCCCCUGGCAAUCACUAAUAUACUUUCAGUCUCUCUGGAUGUGCCUGUUCUACAUAUUUCAUGUAAGUGGAAUAUAUAACUGAAAUUUUGUGUCUAGCUUCUUUCACAUAACAUAAGAUUUUGAAAGUUUAUCCUUGUUGUAACAUGUACUACUACUUCAUUUCUUUUUUAUGGCUGAAUAAUAUUCCAUCAAAACAUUUGGAUUUCCCAGCAAUGUACAAGAGUUUCUUCUUGACCAGUGAUGUUGACACUUCUCAUGUGUUUGUUGGCUACAUAAAUAUCUUAUAGUUUGGGAAAACUUCUAUUCAAGUCUUUUGCCUAUUUUAAAAUCGGGUAGAUUGUCUUUUUGUUGUUGAAUUUAAGAGUAUGUUAUGUAUUCUGGAUACUAAACCCUUAUAAAUACAUGACUUGCAAAUACUUUAUCCUGUUCUGUGAGUUAUCUGUUCACUCUCUUGAUAGUGUCCUUGGAAGUACAAAAGUUUUUAAUUUUGUUGAAGUCUGAUUUUUCUAUUUUUCCUUUGGUUGCUCAAAAAUUUGGUGUCAUAUCUAAGAAUCCAUUGCCAAAUCCAGAAUUAUGAAGAUUUACUCCUGUGAGUUUUUCUAAGAGUUUUAUGGUUUCCAGUUCAGUUCAGUUCAGUUCUGUCACUCAUAGUG